rnacentral:rRNA from 1 species
AUUGAACGCUGGCGGCAUGCCUUACACAUGCAAGUCGAACGGUAACAGGUCUUCGGAUGCUGACGAGUGGCGAACGGGUGAGUAAUACAUCGGAACGUGCCUAGUAGUGGGGGAUAACUACUCGAAAGAGUGGCUAAUACCGCAUGAGAUCUACGGAUGAAAGCAGGGGAUCGCAAGACCUUGUGCUACUAGAGCGGCCGAUGGCAGAUUAGGUAGUUGGUGGGAUAAAAGCUUGCCAAGCCGACGAUCUGUAGCUGGUCUGAGAGGACGAUCAGACACACUGGGACUGAGAGACGGCCCAGAAUCCUACGGGAGGCAGCAGUGGGGAAUUUUGGACAAUGGGCGCAAGCCUGAUCCAGCAAUGCCGCGUGCAGGAUGAAGGCCUUCGGGUUGUAAACUGCUUUUGUACGGAACGAAAAGCCCCGGGUUAAUACCCUGGGGUCAUGACGGUACCGUAAGAAUAAGCACCGGCUAACUACGUGCCAGCAGCCGCCGUAA